UCAGAGCUGGGCUGGUCUCUGACAGGCUCAGCUGGAGAGGGACGGGUUGGGACGCACUGUCCUUUUGCCCUUCCCCCUCCGCGAGCAGAAGCUGACUCCGCAGGAGCGAGGGUCGCAGAGCUGGGUGAGCGGAAAUGUCCCUCCCAGAGUGAAGUCGCAGGGCCCGCCCCGCGUCUGAGGGAGCGGAGGUCUUCCUGGGGGAUUUCAGUCUCCACAUAGUUUUGGAGCCGGACUUUUGAAGAAUGAUUCAUGAAUCCGGAAUGGGUGACAGCGUCAUCACGGCAUUUUAUUGACAGACCAUGGAUUCUUACAAUGCACCAGAGUCAACUCCUAGUGCAUCCUCAAGACCUGAAGAUUACUUUAUAGGUGCCACUCCUCUGCAGAAACGAUUAGAAUCGGUCAGGAAGCAGAGUUCAUUUAUCCCGACUCCACCUCGAAGGAAAAUUCCCCAGUGUUCACAGUUGCAGGAAGAUGUUGACCCUCAAAAGGUUGCAUUGCUUCUGCAUAAACAGUGGACUUUAUAUAGUUUAACUCCCUUAUAUAAAUUCUCCUAUAGUAAUCUCAAAGAGUAUUCUAGACUUCUCAAUGCUUUUAUUGUUGCUGAAAAGCAAAAAGGACUUGCUGUGGAAGUGGGAGAAGACUUCAACAUCAAAGUGAUUUUUUCUACUCUCCUAGGAAUGAAAGGAACACAAAGGGACCCGGAAGCAUUUCUUGUCCAGAUUCUGUGUCAUAAAUACCUUAUUGGAGUGUUAGCAUAUUUGACAGAACUGGCAAUUUUUCAAAUUGAGUGAAGCCUUAUGUGGACUAUAAGUUAUAGAUUAUAUACU
rnacentral:sRNA from 1 species